GUCUUUUAUGAUUGCACAAAGCUACAUGUCGCUAGCUACGGAAACGUUCUGAGUGGGCCGACACCUGACAAAAUUAUGAUUAUGAUAUUUGUAUUUUUAUUUCAGUUGGUGUUUGAGUUGUGUUUAAAUGGCUCACUGAUACUUGUAGCCCCAGUUGUCUUCUUUAAUUUGAUGUACAACAUCAAUAUAUUUGCUCAUGUUUAUUAUAAUAUUAUAGACAGUUUAGAACAAAACAUCAAAUCUGCCCCACAGGUGGGGCAAUGGGGCUUAAGUGUAACACCAGCGUAACAGACAGUGACGCAGCUGUUGAUGCGAGUCUCUUGGUGUUUACAGCAUAGAAAUGUGUGUGUGUGAGUGCAGGAGGACCUGUGGCAUGCCAAAGUGAGUGAUGUGCGAUCCCAGCUUCGCUUCCUGGAGGAAGUGGAGAGUUUGAAGAAGAAGAGGAGAGAGAGAGACUGCUGCGUUUGGCCAGAAGUCGCUCACACACUGAGGAUCCACAGCAUCAGCAGCUCAAGCAAAGAGCCAAAGAGCUCCAACAGAUGGAAGACGCUCAGCUGCAGCAACGAGAGGCCAACCUCACGGCCCUGGCCGCCAUCGGGCCUCGCAAGAAGAGACCAAUGGAGCAGACGGGAAGCCAGCGCAGCCGGCUGCCUGUUUGCUCUUUCCUCAACAGCCACAGGGCUUCACCUCCGCUGGCACAGCCCACACGCAUGACGGCUACCUAGAGGAGUGAUUGUGUUUGGAGUGAACGCUGUUCCUGCACAUACUCAGACAGGAAGUAUUUGUUGAGGCAUCGUCCUUGAAACGAGGAUUGUUUGUCUCCAUAUUAAUUCAAGGACUUGGUUGACUUUGAUUUGUAGCGUGAAAGCACGAGGGCUGUGCCGAGGUUUCAGUGAAUGUCUAAAGAAAAACAAAAGAGAUGUGUCGCUCACUCUCUCUCUCACUCUCUCAGGUGACCCUGCUGCCCAGACCGAGCAUUCAGAGGGUGACCCGCGUCAUGCUGAGGGAUCUGCUGCUGUGUAUGGAGCAGGACCGCUUCCUGUGCCACUCCCUCCCUCUGUACAGAGCCAUGCUCUGACCACCUCGCUGGGAAUGACCACACCACUACACCGCUCUCAUAUUAAUCUUAAUUAAACAAGCUUUGUUUGUUGUUUUUGUACUUUUGUUUCAGUUCUAUCAACAAUUCAUCUGUUUAUUAUCUACUAUUUAUUUUUUUGUAGGUGGAUCAAUGAUGGUGAUCAGCUCCUAGUUUUGAUUAAAAAUAUGACAGAAGAUGAAACACUGUUUACUGAAAAGAUUAGUUGAGUUCUAAGUUUAAUGUUGAGUGUUUCAUUAUUCUGCUUGUUUGUUUGACCAUUAAAAGAAGUGGACUGGGUCACAUCCUGA